rnacentral:rRNA from 1 species
UUACAUGGCUUUUGCAUGUUGAGCUCUCUGCAACUCUCACAUGGUCGCCCACUGAAGCUUAGCAGGACUGCGCCAGGUCAGUACCUGGAUGGGAGACCACAUGGGAUAGCUAGGUUGCUGCCGGAA